UUGACCUCAAAUCAGGUAGGACUACCCGCUGAACUUAAGCAUAUCAAUAAGCGGAGGAAAAGAAACUAACAAGGAUUCCCCUAGUAACUGCGAGUGAAGCGGGACAAGCUCAAAUUUAAAAUCUGGCAGAUGUUUGUCUGUCCGAGUUGUAACCUAGAGAAGUGUAACCUGUGCUGGACCGUGUACAAGUCUCCUGGAAUGGAGCAUCAUAGAGGGUGAGAAUCCCGUCUUUGACAUGGACUACCAGUGCACUGUGGUUGCACACUCAACGAGUCGAGUUGUUUGGGAAUGCAGCUCUAAAUGGGUGGUAAAUUCCAUCUAAAGCUAAAUAUUGGCGAGAGACCGAUAGCGAACAAGUACCGUGAGGGAAAGAUGAAAAGAACUUUGGAAAGAGAGUUAAACAGUAUGUGAAAUUGUUGAAAGGGAAACGCUUGAAGUCAGCUGCAUUAGCUGGGGAUCAAGCCAGCUUUUUUGCUGGGUGUACUUCCUGGUUGAUGGGCCAACAUCAGUUUUGACCAUCAGAGAAAGGCUAAGGGAAUGUGGCACCUUUAUAGGUGUGUUAUAGCCCUUGGUUGUAUGUGAUGGUUGGGACUGAGGACAGCAGUGUGCCGCAAGGCCGGGUUUCGACCACGUUCAUGCUUUGGAUGUUGGCAUAAUGGCUUUAAGCGACCCGUCUUGAAACACGGACCAAGGAGUCUAACAUGCAUGCGAGUGUUUGGGUGGAAAACUCGAGCGCGUAAUGAAAGUGAAAGUUGAGAUCCCUCUCACAGGGGAGCAUCGACGCCCGGACCAGAACUUUUGGGA
rnacentral:rRNA from 1 species